GACCAAACACUGUCUCUUAUCAUCUGUAACUCUAACAAAUUGCUUUCAUUGUUCCAUUCUCUAACUUUCUCACUAAGAGUUUGAAGGCAAAUCAGUCUUGUUGAUGGUUUAUAUUUCGUUUUUUCACUAAAAAUUUCAUGGCAUAUUUUCCAACCUGUAGAUGAGCUUCUAAGGCUACCAAUAAAAUCUGUAGCUUGUUGCUUUAUUAUUGGUCCUACAGAAGGAUCUAAUGCUGCUUCUACU